rnacentral:rRNA from 1 species
CUGGAAAGGGUGGCCAUAGUGGGUGAUAGCCCUGUACGCGAAAAUCCCUUUGCAAUGAAAUCGAGUAGGACGGGGCACGAGAAACCUUGUCUGAAUAUGGGGGGACCAUCCUCCAAGGCUAAAUACUACUGACUGACCGAUAGUGAACCAGUACCGUGAGGGAAAGGCGAAAAGAACCGCGGAGAGCGGAGUGAAAUAGAUCCUGAAACCGUAUGCGUACAAGCAGUGGGAGCCCACUUUGUUGGGUGACUGCGUACCUUUUGUAUAAUGGGUCAGCGACUUAUUUUCAGUGGCGAGCUUAACCGAAUAGGGGAGGCGUAGCGAAAGCGAGUCUUAAUAGGGCGUCUAGUCGCUGGGAAUAGACCCGAAACCGGGCGAUCUAUCCAUGGGCAGGUUGAAGGUUGGGUAACACUAACUGGAGGACCGAACCGACUACCGUUGAAAAGUUAGCGGAUGACCUGUGGAUCGGAGUGAAAGGCUAAUCAAGCUCGGAGAUAGCUGGUUCUCCUCGAAAGCUAUUUAGGUAGCGCCUCAUGUAUCACUGUAGGGGGUAGAGCACUGUUUCGGCUAGGGGGUCAUCCCGACUUACCAAACCGAUGCAAACUCCGAAUACCUACAAGUGCCGAGCAUGGGAGACACACGGCGGGUGCUAACGUCCGUCGUGAAAAGGGAAACAACCCAGACCGUCAGCUAAGGUCCCAAAGUCAUGGUUAAGUGGGAAACGAUGUGGGAAGGCUUAGACAGCUAGGAGGUUGGCUUAGAAGCAGCCACCCUUUAAAGAAAGCGUAAUAGCUCACUAGUCGAGUCGGCCUGCGCGGAAGAUGUAACGGGGCUCAAACCAUGCACCGAAGCUACGGGUAUCAUCUUUUGAUGAUGCGGUAGAGGAGCGUUCUGUAAGCCUGUGAAGGUGAGUUGAGAAGCUUGCUGGAGGUAUCAGAAGUGCGAAUGCUGACAUGAGUAACGACAAUGGGUGUGAAAAACACCCACGCCGAAAGACCAAGGUUUCCUGCGCAACGUUAAUCGACGCAGGGUUAGUCGGUCCCUAAGGCGAGGCUGAAAAGCGUAGUCGAUGGAAAACAGGUUAAUAUUCCUGUACUUCUGGUUAUUGCGAUGGAGGGACGGAGAAGGCUAGGCCAGCCUGGCGUUGGUUGUCCAGGUUUAAGGUGGUAGGCUGAGAUCUUAGGUAAAUCCGGGAUCUUAAGGCCGAGAGCUGAUGACGAGUGUUCUUU